rnacentral:misc_RNA from 1 species
CUCAAUAUACGACCUUGUAUUGCGUCGCGUCGCGUGUAAAGGUAGAGCACAUACGACCAUAGAUACCAUUAGUCACGCGAUAAUAUUCCAAUCAGUUCACGAUUCAACUCAUCAUGGGUAUCUACCUUCGCGAGAUUAUUGUGUGAUCUAUGCGAUUGGUAUCUUCGAAGAUCUAUGUGACAAAGGUCCUGGAACAUAGGGCUCGUCGAAGCAACAUGAGGAGAACUCGUUUCUCCUGUAAACUACGAAGUGUGAAACAAACCACCUA